ensembl:ncRNA lncRNA:CR45280 long non-coding RNA:CR45280
AAGUACACCUGGCGAUUCGACCGUCGAUGUGCUCGAGCACGUUUCGGAUUGAUACGAGUAUGAGCUACAUACAUACAUACACACACACGGUUGCGGUUGCGCCAAAUACCUGGCGAACUUUGGACCCCAUGUCCUCCGUCUCCAUCUCACCUGCUUACGUAAGUAGUGCGGCAAUCCGCCGCUCAGCGUGUCGCCGUGCACCGUUAUUGUGCCAGAGCAGCGCCCCGACACCCAAGCACCCUUAGGAACACCACCCACCACCUACCCCCCACCGCCCAUCGGACAGCUGCUCGAGUUGCGUCAAAGUCGUAAAACUUUCUCACGUAAGUCAAAGCGCAGAGUCCCGCUAUCUUGUCAACCGAAUCUGGGCUUAUCCUUUGUUGCAACUGCAGCUCAGCCCCCAAACGGCGAAAGUGCACAUAUUCAGAUUAUAAAUACGAGUUUAUGGCGGCGUAAAAAAUGAUUCUUAACGCGCCCCAGUGGUCAUAAUGAAGUUAUCGCAUGAUCGGCGAUCGGAAACAUCCAAACAACCAAGCAUUCGCGCUCGCCAAGAUCAAGGAGGCCUUGCCGCCCACCCAACACGCCCACACACGGAUUGUUUAUAAUAAUAAUAUAAUUAUGCUCGUGUAUGCCAGUGCAGCCGUAAUAGUGACGAAGGCGCAUGUCUUUGUGACGUCAAUCUUUACGGGAAACUUCUUCAGCGGCGUGGCGAUAGCGGUAUAAACGUGGCGAACCACUGACUGAACUCCAAAUGGUAGCGUGUGGCAAAUCUGGAAAACCACAUCCAGCGAGACUUAUGCUAAGCUUCCCACGCGUGGAUGCUGCGAUAAAGUUUUGUUUUCGAAGGAGUCACUUGUUUACUGUUUACUGUUUAAUCUGAUUAAGAACACACUUUCCUUUUGAUUCAGUUGCUGGGGGUUCCCAAGCCGAGCAAACAGUAUUGAAGACAGCUGAAAGUGAGUAAGCAAUGGCAUUGCUAUGGCCUGCGAUAUGUAAUUUUGAAAAAGACGCGUUGUUAUCAAGCUUAAUAUAGUACUAGUAUAUAGUAUUUAUAAUUUGCCUAAAAUCCAUGCCAGCAGCUCCACUUGUUUGUUAUGGGAUCCGAAAACUUUAUCGCAAAACGUGAUAAUCGCACGCAUGUGACAAUCAUGUCACGUUUUUGCUUUCAUAAACCAUUACUAAGUGGCUGCCUAGAACUUUUUGGCCUAGCAACAAACUUUAUUGUCACCCAAUACCUCGUAUAUAUAUAUAUGCAUGUGUAUUUAUGGUAUAUUUGUAUAUUUGCGUUACUGCGGAGGAACUUUAACAUAUGGAGCACCGCAGACAACAACAACAAUUGUCUACGGUUUCGGGAAGGGAAAGUGCAUAAAAAUAAGUGAUCAUUAAAUAUGGCGAUUUACUAUUUCCCACUAUCUUAUCGGUUACGUAGUGAAAACAACCUGUGGUGUCGGGGUGAAAAUAAAUCAAGGUCCGCCGUGGAGAACCCUUCUGCUCCUGAUGAUCAAGACCCACUUUCUCGCCUUAUCUUGCCAAUUGGACUUAUCGCUAAUUGGAUGUUCUAGCCGGAAUUUGCGGACUUAUAGCCAAAAGCGCUUGGCAAUUGCUGGAUGGGCUGACAGGAGCAUGAGUGUUUCUUUCUUCAUUAUCGCUGGCGGCGCACUAAGCGCGGACCAAAAAUAACCCGGAAUGUUAAAAAUAACUCGCCACCUCGCUGAAAUCGCCGGCGACAAUAACAAUAACACAUAUUCUGCAUAAAUAUCAAGGCAAAUAGCUGUUGGAAAAUUUGUAUCAGCAGUUCUGUUUGUUUUUCUGGGCUCUCAUAUUAUCGCUAUCAGUACUUCCAAAGAAAACACAGUUUAGGCGACAAAGACCGAGACUGCGACUUCCAGCCAGUUGUUUGCUCGCCACUUGAUGACUUGAUGGGGGAACUACCGGACUGACAUUUCCUUUUAUGGCCAAGGAGACGGCUGAAAUGUGGGUGCUGUUACUCUAUUUAUGGCAAGGUCGUAAAGUGCGAUUUGAUAGGGUAUACUGGCGAAAUCAAGCCAUUGCAAAGUGGAUUGGGGUUGAUGAAGUGGUUUAGUGCAACUAACAC